rnacentral:tRNA from 16 species
CAGCGGCAAAGCAUUCGGCUGGUAAGCCGGAUGUCCCGAGUUCGAAUCCAGCAG